AUACGUAGGGGGCAAGCGUUAUCCGGAUUUACUGGGUGUAAAGGGAGCGUAGACGGAAUGGCAAGUCUGAUGUGAAAGGCCGGGGCUCAACCCCGGGACUGCAUUGGAAACUGUCAGGCUAGAGUGCAGGAGGGGUAAGCGGAAUUCCUAGUGUAGCGGUGAAAUGCGUAGAUAUUAGGAGGAACACCGGUGGCGAAGGCAUCUCACGAAGGGUUGAUUGACGCUGAGGCACGAAAGCGUGGGGAUCAAACAGGAUUAGAUACCCUGGUAGUCCACACCGUAAACGAUGGAUACUAGGUGUGCGGGGACUGACCCCCUGCGUGCCGCAGUUAACACAAUAAGUAUCCCACCUGGGGAGUACGAUCGCAAGAUUGAAACUCAAAUGAAUUGACGGGG
rnacentral:rRNA from 1 species